UUUAAGGAUAGCAUGCUAUAAGCCAACUCCUUUACUUGCCAAGUCCGCCGCAACCUUAACGGAACGACAGGUCUUUGCAAUUUCACAAGCGCCAAAGUUUCGAGAAUUGUCGGUUACUAUAUCAAAAUGGAUCAUUUUAUACGCAUGCGAAGCUUUAAAUUGCCAAAGCUUAGAUGAAAAUACAAUUAUCUGGUAUCUGGAGCAAGGAGGUACAUAACAGAUACAGCACCAUAUUCCUAAAUAACUGGAAGCCUUAUUUAUCUGCUGCUGGAAAACAUGGAAACUAUGAAGCACUGCAGCAGAAGACCACCGUCGGUUGCGGUAUAAUAAAUUAAUCGAAUUUUGGUUCACCCUGUCAAAUGUAUAAAUAGGAGUGCAUUUGCGUACUGUGUGAUGUCAGUAGACGAGCCGAUAAGUAGGAGUCGCUGCCAACUAUUCAUUUCUAAUGCUUCAAGUUAUUUAAAAAGUAUUGCGAAAAUGAGUCAAAUUAGUUCUUUAAAAUUUAUUGUAUACAUUUCAUUUUUUCAUUAUUUAAUUUAUUUUUGCUCAAAUCUAACCUCAAAUAUUAAUAAAAUAUGGUAUUAGAAGCAAACCAACGACAA